rnacentral:tRNA from 1 species
GGAAAGAUAAGCUAAAUAUUAAGCUAAUGGGUUCAUACCCCAUCGAUAGGACUAUCCUUCUCUCCA